rnacentral:rRNA from 1 species
CCUACGGGUGGCUGCAGUGGGGGAUAUUGCACAAUGGGGGGAACCCUGAUGCAGCGACGCCGCGUGGGUGAAGGAGAGGUUCGGCGCGUAAAGCCCUAUCGGCAGGGAAGAAGGAGGAAGGUACCGGACGAAGAAGCCCCGGCUAACUACGUGCCAGCAGCCGCGGGAAUACGGAGGGGGCAAGCGUUAUCCGGAUUUACGGGGUGGAAAGGGGGCGCAGACGGCAGCGCAAGCCAGGAGUGAAAGCCCGGGGCCCAACCCCGGGACUGCUCUUGGAACUGCGCGGCUGGAGUGCAGGAGGGGCAGGCGGCAUUCCUGUUGUAGCGGUGCAAUGCGUAGAUAUCAGGAGG